rnacentral:rRNA from 1 species
GCCUGCAGCUAUAUCACCCUGCAACUCACAACUGGCAACCCACUGAAGUUAAGCAAGUGUGAGUCUGGUCAGUACUUGGGUGGGAGACCCUCCUGGGAAAGCUUAGGUGGCUGCUGGAA